rnacentral:rRNA from 1 species
AUUGAACGCUGGCGGCAGGCCUAACACAUGCAAGUAGAGGGCAGCGGCGGACAGGUGAGUAGUGUCUGGGAAACUGCCUGAUGGAGGGGGAUAACUAAUGGAAAAGGUAGCUACUACCGCAUAAUAGCAGAUGAGCCUAGGUCGGCUUAGCUAGGUGGUGGGGUAAAGGCAUACCAAGGCGACGAUCCGUAACUGGUCUGAGAGGAUGAUCAGUCACACUUGAACGGAGACACGGUCCAUACGCCGACGGGAGGCAGCAGUUGGGAAUAUUGGACAAUGGGCGAAAGCCUGAUCCAGCCAUGCCGCGUGUGUGAAGAAGGUCUUCGGAUUGUAAAGCACUUUAAUUUGGGAGGCGUUACCAACAGAAUAAGCACCGGCGAACUUCGUGCCAGCAGCCGCGGUAAUAC